AGGGGCGGGGCCGCGCUCGUCCGGCGCUGGCCGCGUCGUGGGAGCGGGAGCAGCGGGCGCCCGGCUCGGACCUUCCGCAGGUAAGAAGUAAGAAAUGAGUGUCACCGGGCUGAAAGCAGAAUGCCGACAGGGUGGCGGCUUCCCUUUGGGGGGCUCUCAGGAAGAAGCUGGCUUCUGGCCAUUUACAGCUCUGAGGCUGCGUGCAUCCUGGGCUCCUGGCUCAUUGCUCCCCUCGAGGCCAGCAAUGGCUGAUGACCUUGGGAACAUCAUACACCUUGGACGCCGACGCUCCUGAAUCCCUCCUCCACACUUAGGGACCCUUGUGGUGUAUUGGGCCCAUCCAGGUAUUCUAGUAAUUAGAAAAAAAACUGCACCAAGGACAGCUAACCAAAUACCGUAUUGGCUGAGAAAACAUGGCUCCGGUGUAGAUACUCAGACUGAAGACUGCUUCAGCUGUACACACCCCUGAGGUGAGGCACCAGCUCUGUGAAGGCCGUGAACUGGGCCUAGAAACGUGAAGAUUUAUUAAAACAUUCUCGAGCCCCCACCAACCAUCGUGUUUUCGGUCUUUAUGAUGUUGACACCCCAAGGACCUUACAUAAAUGAGAUCGGACAGUAUUUGUCUUCUUCUGACUGGCUCGUUUCACGGGGCGUAACGUCCUCACGGUUCAUGCACGUGGCAGCCUCCUGCAGAAUUUCCUUCCGUCUCAGCCUGGACAGUAUUUCACGGCACGUGCACGCCACGGUUUGCGUGUCCGUCGUCCGCGGUGGCACCGUUGCUUCCACGCUUUGGCUCCUGUGAAUAAGCUACUACGAACGUGGGUGUACGAGUAUCUCUGCUCGAUUACUCUGGGUCUGUAGGCAAAGUGGAACUGCUGAGUCAUACGGUGAUUUUAUUUAAUUCCCUGAGGAACCUCUCUACUGUUUUCCACGGCUGCUGCUUGUUUCACACGUGCACCAGCAGGGGUUCAGCUUCUCCACAUCCUUGCCAGUUCUUUUUUUUUUUUUUUAGUAGUGGGCACCCGAAUGAGUCAGGUGGUCCUGUUGGCCGUUUUCUGAGUGCUCUAGCCAUGUGCAGCCCAAACCUCCCAGAUUGCUGAGCAACCGGGCCUGUCACCCGUCACCCCAGUUCCUGCUGUCCGGGGGGCUGGCGGCAGCCCGUCCCGCCACCGGCCUGUGACACCACCCGGCUGCCCUCCAGCCGGCCCCUGAUCCCCCCGGGCCUGAGCUGGGAUACGAUGCCAGCUCCGCGGGGUCUCCGGCUCGCGCGUGGCCUCUUUCCCUGAGUCCUCCUAGUGCCCGUGACCUACUCUGGCUGCCCUGGCCUCAAGCAGCCCAGCGGCUUCAUCUGCUUAGACAUGGGUUUUACCUCCACCUGAGUCAUCGCCUUAGAAGGGACGCAGCUGGGCCGUCGGGGGUCCCCGGGGCAGGUGGAACAGGCGGGGAGCGGAAGGUCGGCCGGCCAGGCGGCCUCAGGCGGCCUCUGCGACGUGAGGGCAGGUCCCUAAUGUGUCACUCUCACCUUAAGGCUCCGCGUUCCAUUGUUUGUCCCUCCCUAUACCUCAGAACUUGGUAUCUUUGGGUUUUGGUUUUGGUUUUUCAAGAGAACAAAUGCAACAAUUUUAUCUACUUUUCGAUGAGUUUAAACCGUUGAGGAUACGGGAUUGCGAGGAAUGUACGCGCAGCGGCCUGGCAGGAAGGCCGCUUCGUGGGUUCUACAGCUCCCGGGUCUACGUGGGUUAGAGCCUUCCUCGGGUCCCGCUUGGUUUCGUUUGCUCUGCCGCCAGGACUCACUGCCGUGUGCUUUAGGCUCACAGCGCGUCUCCCGCACUAGGAGAAUUCAGUUCACGUCGGGCCUAAAUCACACCUGCCGUUGAAAAAGAACCCUGUGCUGUGCUGUCCCGGCUUCGGCCUGGAGCCAGGCUCCCCACCCCCGCCCCGCCGGGGUCCUGUUCCCGCAGGCUCCACGUGAGGCACAGGCUAGGCUUGCUCUCCCCAUAGGACAAGAAUCUCCCGUAGUUGGAGAGGAGCAGAGUGCUUUGUCAAGACCAUCUGCCCCUGAAUAAUCUGUGUUGACUGCUGCAUCUACGACAUAGCGAUACGCGUAGCCCUAAACCUUGCUCAGAUUCCUUAAAACUAGCUUUGAUGAGCACAAGGCUGAUAUCCUAUUAUUUUGUUGUUACUGUUUAUUAUUUCAUGAUGAAAAAUUAACACUACAAAAAAGUAACAGUUCACUAAUAACUCCGCCAGGGAAAAAUAACUUCCCUUCUCCCUAUUAGGGUCUGAAAGAGCGUAUCGUUUUACGUGGGCAUUGCCUCAAAACUCCUCAUUAAUCCCGAAAUGAUGUAAGUAAAAGUGGGUCAAUAAAGAGGAAAAAAAGAACU
rnacentral:lncRNA from 1 species